AGAGUUUGAUCCUGGCUCAGAUUGAACGCUGGCGGCAGGCCUAACACAUGCAAGUCGAACGGUAACAGGAAGCAGCUUGCUGCUUUGCUGACGAGUGGCGGACGGGUGAGUAAUGUCUGGGAAACUGCCCGAUGGAGGGGGAUAACUACUGGAAACGGUAGCUAAUACCGCAUAACGUCGCAAGACCAAAGAGGGGGAACUUCGGGCCUCUUGCCAUCGGAUGUGCCCAGAUGGGAUUAGCUAGUAGGUGGGGUAAAGGCUCACCUAGGCGACGAUCCCUAGCUGGUCUGAGAGGAUGACCAGCCACACUGGAACUGAGGCACGGUCCAGACUCCUACGGGAGGCAGCAGUGGGGAAUAUUGCACAAUGGGCGCAAGCCUGAU
rnacentral:rRNA from 1 species